rnacentral:rRNA from 1 species
GAUGAACGCUAGCGGCAGGCCUAACACAUGCAAGUCGAGGGAGAGGUUACCUUCGGGUACCCAAAACCGGCGCACGGGUGCGUAACGCGUAUACAAUCUGCCUUUCACAUAGGGAUAGCCCGAAGAAAUUUGGAUUAAUACCUAAUGGUAUAUAAGAGCGGCAUCGUUUUUAUAUUAAAGCUACGGUGGUGAAAGAUGAGUAUGCGUUCUAUUAGCUAGUUGGAGAGGUAACGGCUCCCCAAGGCGACGAUAGAUAGGGGUUCUGAGAGGGAUGUCCCCCACACUGGUACUGAGAUACGGACCAGACUCCUACGGGAGGCAGCAGUGAGGAAGAUUGGACAAUGGUCGGAAGACUGAUCCAGCCAUGCCGCGUGCAGGAUGAAGGUCCUAUGGAUGGUAAACUGCUUUUGUAAGGGAAGAAUAAGGAGUACGUGUACUUUGAUGACGGUACCUUACGAAUAAGCAUCGGCUAACUCCGUG